AACUGAACAGGCUAAAAUCUUAUCUAAUAAAAAUGUUGUGCAAAAAAACAUAAUGAACAUCCUAAAUGAAGGAAGCAUAAAAGGGUUUUUGUGUUGCCUUCCAACUUCUCACAGCUGUGAUUUUAAGAAUAAUGUGUUCUUCUCCUAAUUACAUUUGAUUAUUUAUAUAAAUCCUUCAAUUUGCUGAAGAUAACACGAAAGACCUGCUUACAGAUCUUAAAGGCAGAAUCAUCUGAAGAACAUGCAAGCCUCAUAUCUCGUCUCAGUAUCGGGGCGGCGACGGCACUUUAGAAGCUAAGGACAGAGCGUGACCAGGAUCAGUGAGGGUCACUGAGGGGUGAAGCAAAGCCCUGCAUGCAGAGUGAACAAGUGCUGUCUGGUGGUUUCCUCUCUGGGUCACAAUGGAGGUGAUUAAGAAACCACAUUCAGAGUCAUGCUGACUUUUCAUCCCAGAAGUUGCCCCAGUUUAACAGCAGAGCAGGGCCGGAUCCUGGAGGGACGUUCAAAACAACCGAGAGAAGCUGCUGCGCGGUGUUUGUGUUUCCAGCGCCGGAGCGUGAGCCUCAGAGUCACGCUGCUGUUUGCUUCUCUUAGAUAUAUUUCUGUGAAAAUGCCCUUCUCUGUGAAACAUCAUACACUGAGAGUUUUCCCCUCUAACAGAAUCUGGCUGCAGAGAAGACGUACAACAACCUGGACGUGACUGUGACCAAGGCGUUGAAGCAUCGCUCGCAGUACUUUGAGGGAGUCCUGACCUGCAACAGACACGAGACCCUGGAAGCCAUCAUCACCAGACUGGUGGAGGCCGAGGUUCACAGACUCGUGGUCGUCGAUGAGAACGAAGUGGUGAAGGGAAUCGUCUCCCUUUCCGACAUCCUCCAGGCGCUGGUGUUGACCGACGGAGAAGAGGGCACAACUUUAGGGAGUAAUUAGGAAUGCUGUUUUGGGAUGAGACCAGAGCAAAGGGAAAGCACAAGCAUGUGGGAGGCUCAGUGAGAGAAUGCGUCGUCAUCUCCGAUAACGCCCACACAGAAAGACUUCUCUGUCUCCGCAGUUUUAGCAAUACUGAAAUUUAUACCUAGUAGCACAGGACUUAUAAAAACUUCUUUAAAUUGAGCCAAAUUCAAAGCCCCCAGUAGUUGACCAGAGAUUUGAAAGAAGAAGAAAUGUGAAGAAUGCAGCACAGUCACCAUCUCUGCCCUUUUAAUAGUUUAUGAAGUAAUUUAAAAAAAAAA